rnacentral:misc_RNA from 1 species
UCCACCGCUACCUCCGAUCAGAUACAAGAAGAUUCAGGAUUUGUGUUUCUCAGAUCAAGAUUCUCCGUUUGGGGAAUCACGUUGAACAUAGAUAGAGUUCAUUGUUGAAGAAGUUUGUAAAAAGGAGGGUGGAAUUGGUGUUUUUUGGUGUGCGGGGUGGUUGGUGAUUAGAUCUCGAGACUGUUGAUAUAUGGUAGUUUUGAGGUGGAGAGAUUGAGAGGAGUUAAAUCUGUGAUUUUCGAGGAGGAGGGAGGAGGGAGGGUUUUAGGUGGUUGAGGGGUUUCAGGUCUCCAUGCUGUCAGAGAGCAUGCGUGCAAUUUGUGGUUUGGGUAAUGCCCUAUUCGAGAUUUGCUGUUGAUGCACUAGGUGUAAUUACUAUUAUACUUGUUUCGAUUUUGGUACUUGCUGGGUUGUUUUGUAUAUUGUAUUUGAUAUACUUUCAUACGAAGAUUCGUGGGCAAGGUUACAAUCAGCUUGGCUAUUUUCAUGGUCCUUGGAUUAUCCGGAUUGUAUUUAUAUUGUUUGCAAUUUGGUGGGGAUUUGGAGAGGUUGUUCGGCUUAACUUGAUUAGAGGGGAAGGAAGAUUGUUGAGUGCUUUUGGUUUCAGAUGGCAGGAAACUGUUUGCAAGUGUUAUAUUGUUUCGAGCUUAGGUUUUGCAGAACCUUGCCUGUAUCUAACCGUUGUGUUUCUCCUUCGGGCAUCCUUACAAAAGUCAGGAACUUUAAGCCAGAAAUGGAAUGGCAAAACAGUCGGAUACAUACUUCUUUUUUGCCUCCCAGUUUUUGCUCUACAGCUCGUGCUUAUUUUGGCUGGACCACAACUUGAGAAGAAUAGCUUGAAACACUUGCCAGAGUAUUUCACUAGUCCAGUCAAACAAUCUGAAGAUGAUGUUGCCCUGUGCACUUACCCUUUGUUGAGUACUUUCUGCCAUGGUCUUUUUGCCAUCAUGCUAACUUCAUAUUUGUUCUGGCUUGGUGGAAGAAUCCUGCAUUUCGUUAUCAAUAGGAGUCUGCAGAAGAGAGUAUACAUGCUAGUGUUGUCAGUUUCAGCUUUCUUUCCUAUAAGGGUUCUAUUGCUUGGUUUAACUGUUAGAACACUGCCAGAACAUUUACCUUUUCAAGCUCUUGCAUUUGUGGGUUUUGUUUCCUUCUUUUUUUGUAUUGGGAUGGGCAUGUUCAUGCUCAUUGUCAUGCCCAUGCGGGAUUGUUUAGCACUGAAGAAGAGCUCAGAGAGGGAUAUAGAGUCUAGGAGAAGGUUAAGUGAUGAACAAAAUGAUAUGGUUUCUCUAAUUGCUAACCAAAGCACCCUCGGAGGAAGUAUGGUGAGCAGUCCUGGGAGAAAUUCAGGUGCCUCAACAAAGAGAGGAUCCAUCUCCUUUCGAACAACGGACAAG